GAUGAACGCUGGCGGCGUGCCUAAUACAUGCGAGUAGAACGCUGAAGGAGGAGCUUGCUCUUCUGGAUGAGUUGCGAACGGGUGAGUAACGCGUAGGUAACCUGCCUGGUAGCGGGGGAUAACUAUUGGAAACGAUAGCUAAUACCGCAUGACAACAGUUAUUGCAUGAUAACUGUUUAAAAGGGGCAACUGCUCCACUACCAGAUGGACCUGCGUUGUAUUAGCUAGUUGGUGAGGUAACGGCUCACCAAGGCGACGAUACAUAGCCGACCUGAGAGGGUGAUCGGCCACACUGGAACUGAGACACGGCCCAGACUCCUACGGGAGGCGGCAGUAGGGAAUCUUCGGCAACGGACGGAAGUCUGACCGAGCAACGCCGCGUGAGUGAAGAAGGAUGUCGGAUCGUAAAGCUCUGUUGUAAGAGAAGAACGAGUGUGAGAGUGGAAAGUUCACACUGUGACGGUAUCUUAACAGAAAGGGACGGCUAACUACGUG
rnacentral:rRNA from 1 species